UGGACCAAUGAUGACUACUGGUGGCGUAUGAGUCAUUGAUGAUGACUACUCUGGAACUCUGAGGUCCAA